UGGCGGCCUGACCCGUAGGCGCCGCCCCCGCGGGCGGCGGCUAUUGGCUGUGGCGCGGAGCGACCGCGCGCGGGCCAAUUGGGAGCGCGGGCACCCGGCGCCAGCGGCGCGGGGAGGUCGGCGGUGCCGGCGGCGGCGGGCGCAGUGCGCGAGGGGAGGAGCGGGAGGAGGCGGAGGAUGUUCCCGGCGGCGGCGGCCGGGGCAGCGCGGGCCAGAGGCGCGGCGCGCGGAGCCCUCGGCUGCCGGACGGCUCGCGGCGGCGGGCGGGCUGCCAGUGGCCGGCUCUGCGCUGCCCCGGGGGCUCUGAAGGCGAGUCCCAGGCUUUGUCUCCCGCGCUUCUUUCGUGCUGAGGGUCAGGGAGCUCCGGAUCGGCGAAGGACGCGAGCGGGACGCCGCGGGGCUCGGGCCCGGACGCGACGGUCGGAAGGGAAGGGGCGGACAAAAAAAGACCAAAUGGCAAAGCAACCUUCAGAUGUAAGUUCUGAGUGUGACCGAGAAGGUGGACAAUUGCAGCCUGUUGAGAGGCCUCCUCAGCUCAGGCCUGGGGCCCCUACCUCUCUACAGACAGAGCAGCAAGGUAAUCCUGAAGGCGAAGGGGACCGCUGCCCCCAAGGCAGCCCUCAGGGCCCACUGGCCCCACCUGCCAGCCCCGGCCCUUUUGCUACCAGAUCCCCGCUUUUCAUCUUUGUGAGAAGAUCCUCCCUGCUGUCUCGAUCCUCCAGUGGGUAUUUCUCUUUUGACACAGACAGGAGCCCGGCACCCAUGAGUUGUGACAAAUCAACACAAACCCCAAGUCCUCCUUGCCAGGCCUUCAACCAUUAUCUCAGUGCAAUGGAACGUUUCCUCUCCCCGUGUGGGGUUUGCAGACUUGAAUCCACCUUUGUGGGCUCCAUUAAUACUGAGACAGAACUCACAGCUUCCAGGAGGCAGUCUCAGGCUGUACCUGCAGAUAUGCGCCCGGAGAUGUGGAUUGCGCAGGAGUUGCGGCGUAUUGGAGACGAGUUUAAUGCAUAUUACCCAAGGAGGUUAGAGCAAUAGAGGAAGGUGUCGUGUAGUUGUCAUGUGUUCAGUCCACUUAAGGGCAGUGGGGAAGCGUAUGAAACGGAGCUGUGGAGUCUGAAUCCUUGAAGGAGGAGGUGUGAGAGGCACAGACUUCCCAUCUAAAAGUCGCAAGAAUGGUACAAAGAACCCUCUUCUAUCUGCCGCCCGAGUUCCCCACCGUUCCCGUGUCGCCGCAUCUGCUUUAAUGUUCUCCCCCUUCUAUACCUGUGCACGUGUUGUUUUCUGGACUCCGGGAAUAAAUGCUAGGUGUGAUGUUCUUUUGCCCUCAAAUCCAUCAAUGUGUGUUUCCUAAGAAUAAGAGUAUUCUCUUACAUAACCACAGUGUAAUUCUCAAAAUCAGGAAAUUAGCAGUGUGACAGUACUGUUAUGUAAUCUGUGGACCUCAUCCAAACUUUACCAGUUGUGCCAAAAAUGUCCUUUAUAGUAACAACAAAAAAAUAAAAAAGUUUUUUUUUUCUGGCCCAGGAUCCAGUUUAAAGUCAUGCGUUAAAUUUAGUUGUCUUAUCCCUUUGAUGCCAUUGAUUUGGAACUAUUCCUCCGUCUCUGUGACCCUGAAGGGUCACAGGACAGGUAUUUUAUGGAUACUCCCUGAAUUUGAUUUGAUUUGUCUGUUGUCUCCUUGGGAUAAGAUUCGAGUUGUGUGCUUGGGCAGGAGUACGGCAGGGGCGACAUCGUGUCCUCUCCCAUCAGGUCCCCAACGGGGAGUCCGUUGGCCCUGUCACUGGUGAUGCUGACUCUACUCAAAGCUGGCACCUUCCAGUCGAAAGCCAGCGUGUUUCUAUUUGUAAUGGGAGGGAGGUGUGUGUAGAGGAUGAACGACUUCCUUUCCCCAUUAUAUUUUUAUCCCGUUCAUCAGCCUACAUUCAUGGGUCCCUGUUUAAUUCAGUAGGUUCCUCUGCAUUAUUAUCCUGGGUACUUAAUUUGAUCCUCAGAUUGUCACAGAUCUGGCCAGUGGUGGGCCUCUGGUGUGUUUUCACCUGUCAGUUCAGCAUUAAAGGGCCUCAAUUGUGCAGGCACAUCUAGAACAUGCUCCAGGACAAAAUCCGAGCGCCCGUGGAGGUGGUGGAGCUUCCAGAAGGCAUCUGUUGCUGAGUAGUCUACACCCACAUGGUGCCGUGACUUUUCCAGCCCCACUCUGCACCCCACCCCUGUGUCCGGGCUCAAGGAUUGCUGGGGAGAGUGGAAGUCGGAGGACUUGGAGGGAAGAAGAUUUCUCAGAGAAGCUAGAUCUUUGUUUUGAGCUUUAUGAAGAGGGUGAGUGGCUCAUAUUCAGCUGAGUGGUGGGGCAUGGAGUGCUGUGUGCUUACUGCCCAUUCUAAGGGGAUGGUCCUCUUGGAUGGGAUUCUUAGCCAUGGGCCAAGGGUGCAGGCCCGUCUGUGGAGCAUGUGCUGGGCCCUUCAGAACAUUGGAACAUGUGCUCUUGGGGUAAUUAGACCCAUCCUCUACUCCACGUCUGCCUCCCCCUCUUCCCCAUUACCAAGGCUGCCAUCGUUCACCUUUGGUGGCCUCCCCCAAGCCUUGUAGUCAGGAUAUCCAGCCUAGUUUGCUCUGUGCACAGGUAGACUUCUCUUGGUUGAUAGUGACUUGGGGAUGUCCUGGCCGUGGCCUGCCUUGAGCAGCAGCACGUGAAACUACGUCAGACCCUCUAGAUGGGCCAAGAAGUGAAUGAAAACCCUUUCAUUGUUUGAUCCCAAGAAACAGUGUAUCUUUUGUUUACACUGCUUGCUUCCUACUUCUUCUGUCCCAGGCAUGUGCAGGCAUGAGUAGACUGAACUGUAGGCCAACUGAAGUAUAGCACCAAACCAGACAAAGUAGAGAGGGAAAGGGAGGUGGCUCACACACUGGUUUAGGUGGAAACAAAAGCUUAAUGGAAGUGUCACCCAUUUGCAUUUUCAUACAUAAUACAUGAACUUGAACUCUUCCUCUGCUGUCCUUCCCAGGACAAGAACUCCCUGUGCUGUCGGAUUCCUGGUUUUAUAAAUGAUACUGUUCUAUAGGUAAUGUACAACGGGGAGGAUCUAAUCGGUAGCUGUCUUGUUUGGGAAUAGCAUAACCUGAACAUAAACUCAGAGAUGUGUGUCCUCGGACAACAUUCCUUUGAGUCCCUCAAUAAUUGAACAUAGAAGCUUUGUAAAUGAGCCACUUUCUGUUACUGUUUGAGCAAAGAAUAGUGAAAAACCAGCAUAUGAAUUAGUACAUUGAAACUGGACGCAUCUCAUGAGAUGGUGAGUCGCCCACAAGUUGAUAAAAUGACAGUUUUCAUAGCAAAAACUGUUGUGAGCAGCUUAAGUGAAUUAGUGCCCAUCAUUGAUCUGUGACACAGUUUGAAGAAUCGGUGAGUGUUUGCCUUCUAGCUGGAGGAGGGAGCUCAGGGUUUUGGCUUUAGGAGCCUUCCGAUGCCCCCAUUGCAGAGUCACUGGAGCCUGUGUGAUCCAGGAGUCGUCCUUCUUAUGGCUUCAGCCCUUCGUGUCUUUCCCUGAGACCUUCGGGACAGCACGUGGUUGCGCUCACUGAUCCCAAUGGCAGCUGUGGAUGGCAGGUUUUCUGAACGAGGGCAUUCCAUGACUUGGGGAUAAAGUGUGAUCUUAUAGGAAAGCAGGACUUGUGGACAGGUGUGAGAACUUUGGGGUGAGGCCUUGAAUCUUACUCUAUCCAUUAUAUCCUCUAGGCACCCCAUUUUCUCUCAGCCUCCUCAGGGAUGUGGUGAAGGUCACAGGGACCCAUUCAGGGACGGAGCUCGAAAUUGCUAUCAUCGCUAGCCCGUCAUGCUGAGGUUUCUCUGCACUAGAACUGAAACAUUUCUCAGCUGGUCUUCAGAGUUGAGACGGAUGCUGCUGACUUGGUUCACUUGUUCAGUACCCUACUUGUGUUGGGCCCUACCGAUGCGUGCUGUGUCUGGGUAUGCACAAACAGGAGACGGGGCUGGGGCGCUGGGGUGUGUUUCAAUGGCUGGGUGGGCAUCGCCCUGGGUGCGGCGGUGUCCGUACACGCUGCCCGCGGCUGCCGCUCCAUCCACCUGUAGCAGGUGGGUACACCUGCACGCCUGCCUCGCGGUGGGUGGGGAGGACCCGGGCCAUUCACACAGAACUGUUCAGAGGUGCAGGUGCCCGGAGGGGGACUUCAGAGAGGUCUGUCUGGGGUUUUUUAAUCUCUGGAGGAGGAAAUGAAGAUGCACAUGAGGCGAGGCUCGCAGUCUGCAGCCGCUCUCACCAUCCUUCGCUAGCCUUCUCCCAGCUGAUCCAGAGCAGAGCGCUUGGGGCUGUGGUCACAGAGCGUUACGUCUCAGCAGCGCUUCUCUGGGGCUGGGGCAUUUCAGAGCCAUGUAUUCUUGCUCCAGGGCUCAUGUUUUGUCUGACGGAGGCCCCCCCGCCCCUCCGCACCCACGUAUCUCUGGCUCCUCUGCAGUUGCUCCCCAUGCAGUGCCACACAACCCGGGUGACAGUCCGAGGGCCACCGAGUCAGAGAUCUGCCAGGAGAGGGGUGUGUGCCGUGCUGCCUGAAGAAAACCCUGGGAAUGCAGGGCCUGACAGCAAGUCAGCAGGGGAAGCGCUUGGUCUGCAGAAAGCCUGAGCUAUAAUAGUUUCUUUGAAAUGAUACAUCAGAAGCAAAGGAGAGGCAGAUUCACACUGAUGGGAUUUUUCUGUGACUUCCCCUCCUGGGGAGGUCAGCGGCUGCUCCCGAGGUGGGAGAACUCCAUCCUGCUCAGCCUGUGGGAGCAUCACGUCUGGGGGAGGGGCUCCUGGCACCCUUUCCACAGCUGUGUUGAUAUCAGAGUGAGUUAGGCACAAGCUAUGCAAAUCCCCCCGUUGCCGUGGUGAUGAAUGGAAAGUGAAUCUGGGCAGCACUGCAGCAGCGGCCUGACACCUGAAAGCAGGAGGCUGUCAAACCUCCUCUAAAAUCUGGGCCGAGGUGGAGAGACCCAAGAUGCUCCGUGUGGUAGGCCCUUUUCCUCUCUGAUCUCUGCCUCCAUCACUUGUCAUGUAAAAUACUGUUUAGGUUGUUUUAGGUUAUAAAUGCAUAGAGGUGGUCUUCCAUCAGGAUCACUCCAGCUUGCUCUGCUCCCUCCACCCACCCACCCAGUCAGCUUGGAUUGUGGCAACAACACCCAUGCAUGUCCUGGAAGAUGCCACGACAGCCCCUAGGGGACCAGACACCACCCAGACACUCACGUGACACAUCCCCGCUUGUCGAUCUGGGGCAGACGUUCCCUGUCAGUCUCAAUUGAGAGAAAAGAAUUCACAGUCCGGAAUUCUGUCUCUUCUAACAUGUUACCACUCAAAGAUUACAUCCUUCUAAAAAGGAAGAAAAAAAAGUUACUAAGGACCUGUUAGGUAUUCAGUGUUGAAAUUCUGUAAGGGGUUUUUUGAGUGAGUUUAAAAACUGCUGUGUGUUUCAGAGUUCUGUAGGUAUUCCUUGCUUUUUCACUUGUCUCUUAGAAUUUGCUUUUGAGCUCUCUGGUAUAAUGGUGAAGAUCAGGCCGUCUUUACCUUGUUACUUUGACUGCCAGGAAGCUCUUAGCCAAAGUCUGGCUCUUUGACAGUAGACCUCAGCCCUGGUUCCCAGGGUAAGUCUCUAUUGAUGUCAUUUCUUAUCUCUCUUAACAUUCAUGUUUUUUGCGCUGUGCCCAUUUGUGAUUUUUGUGCUUCACCUUCCUUGAGUAAUGCCAAAUGUAUAUGUGUUGUCCUUUCUGAGUCCUUUGGCCCAGUGGGGAUUGGACCAGCCUUUGGAGUGUGGAUUAGUGAGCUCUUGUGCUGAAGUCUGAGUUGAGUUGACUUGAUUUUGAUUCUACAAGUUUGGUCUGUCCCCUCGUCUGUGAAAUCUGAAAGAGAGUUAUACUGGCCCACAGCUCGUUGUGAAGACUGAGAAGGUGUGUGGUAUGUCAUUUUGUUGAGUGGAGGCAGUGAGUGACUCUUCUGGACCCUGGGCAAGGGCACCCCAAAUCUGAAGGCCUGGUGUGUUUCGGGCGGCUUCUCAGAGCCUGGGCUCAUCUCUGCCUGCGGAAGAGCAGAGCUGGCCCCAGAACUGUGCUCUCCGGUUGUGUGGUGCUUCUCCCAACCACCUUGGACUGCCUGGGCUCAGGGUCUCUUGUAUCUGCAUGCUUGCUUCCCUGGACUGGGCAGGAGGGGAUGUUCUGCUCGGAUUAUUUUCGUAUUAUGAUAGUAAUUGAAUUCUGAUACUUGGUUGUUCCUCUCAAGUUGAAGGCGGUUCUCGUGCAGACGCCUCUGUGGAGGCUAGUGCUGUGUCCUGUGCCUGGCUGCUGCAGGCGGAGGUAGUCCUGUGUUUCAGGGCCGCGGUGGCUCAGAGGUCCCCAGCUUCUUGCAAGUCUGCCCGGACCCCACCCAGGGCAUUCCUUUGGCACAGCCUCACCCCCAGCUACCACCCAGGUUGAGCCCGUGUCCUCUGGUGAGGACAUAAGGGAACUGUUUGGGGAUUCCCUGCUGAAUGCUCUCAACACUGUCUCCAGGGACACUUCUCAGAUCUUCCAAGAAGCGCCUGAGUCUCCCGCAGGGAAGCAUGUCCCAGCUCUGGGCCUUCCUGCCCUGGAUAUCCCAGGGCCCUGCUUGCCUCUCUGGCGGGCGCUGCUUUCUCUGCCAUUUCAUUUACCUUGUGUAUUGCUAUUGUCCUAUUACCCCAUUUAUUUGUAUGGCUGUUCCCCACCAGAGCGUAAGCUUCAUAGAAAGAGAUGCUGUCACACUUUUCUUGCAUCUUGACUCCACCUCGGCACAAGCCUCCCAUUUUCCUGGAAUGCAUAUAGGUGUUCUUUACCUGCAAAGCGGGAACUUGAGUCCUGAUUACAGGAGCAGGGCAGCAGCUGUGGCUUUCUUACAGGCUGCUGUCACUGUUGGUAACACCCACGGUGGCCCUUGGGCUGGGCAUUGCUGUUUUGCACUUGUUGCUGAUGACAAGAGGAGUUGCCCGCUGAGCCUAGUGGAUGCAGGCUUUCCGAGGCAGGCCCCAGCACACUCCCUGCCCCAUGCAAGCAGGCCUAGGGGCUGUAGCCCCUGACCCAGACAGGAGUAUGGACUGUCAGAAUUAGUUCCUGGAGAGAGAUAAAAAAGCUGAAUGUUGAAGGAGUCCUCUUCUGGACACAUGGGAUGGCCAUAAAAGUCAGUUACCCCAAAGGAUAUAGUUCCUGAUCUAAACGGUGGAGAUAAAAGACCCAACAGAAUGGGGCCCUACACUUCAAGCACUUGGGUUUUUCGUGUGUGUGUGUGUGUGCGCGCGCCCGUGUGUGUAAGCAGAAGAGAUCACUAUAAUGCAUAAAUGGUUUGCACUUCGUAGCAUAUUUAUUUUAAAUAAUCUCCUUUAUCCAAAUGCAGCCAUUAACAUAUCUUUCUAAAGUACUUUUAUGAAUUAAUGUAAAACAGCAUUAUACAACUCAGAUCUAAGAAGUGUUAUCUUAAAGAGGGAAGGAACCAGGAAUGUUCACUAAGCAUGAAAAGGUAUAUUCCUUUGCUAGGACUGCCAUAACAGAGUACCACGGGGAGGGGUGUGUUGAACAACAGAACUGUUCGCUCACAGUCCUGGAGGCCAGAGGACUGAGAUCUCGGGCUGGUUGUGCUGACAAGUGCUCGGAGCUGUUGGCUGGAGCCUGGCUGGUGUCCUCACCUGCUGGUGCCCAUGCCUCCUGCCCCUCACUGGCAUCAUCAGGCACCUACCGUGUGCUCCUGUGAAUGAGCCGAUGCGUGCGGCUGCAGGUGCUAGAGGGCAGCGAGUCUGCAAGAAGCAGGAGCUGCCUGUCCUCCAGCUGCUCCGGAGCAACAGGCCGUACACGCUGAGCUGUGCCAGCUUCAGCCGGCUAUGCCAGCGGUCAAGGGUUUUCGGGACUGGUGUGGCCUUGGAAUUCAGUCGUAAUGGCUUCCUCCAUUGAAUGUUGUCCAAAAGCAGUUUCUUGCUGGCUUAAAAGCAAAAAGCAUGUGCCAUGUUGUCACGCGCACUGCCUGAGAGAGUAGGCGUCCUGCUGUCCUUCCUGAGUAGUUGUAGCAUCUUCUUGCUCAGGGAUUGGGUGUUCCUGUUGCCAGAAUUUCCUGCAUGGCCCCUGCCCCCUCCCCAGCUUCCUUUGAACAUCCCCAUGUCCUUUACACUUGACAUGCAAGCAGAACUCUAAAGAACUUGGAAAAACUGGUCUUGUGAUAAGACUCUUAAACGUCACGGCCACUGCCAUCCACCCGAUGUCCUCAAAGGGUAGGUGGGGGAUAUCUCCUCUCAGACGCGGCCAGUUCUGGAAUAUAAAAUGAGCUGCGCGGAAGCAGUUGGGGUCUGUCCCCUUGCUGGAGUCACUUUGACCCCAUUCUCUUGUCUUACCGAGGCUGGGAGUGACACCUGGCUGACACAAGAUUUCCCACCUUGAAGAGAUUGCUUAGCCCUGUGCACACUUUCUUCAUUUUAGUCUUUUUGAAUAAUUACCCAGCAGCCGAAGCCCACCCCCAAAUGAUUAUCUUACGACUGUUACGUUACAUCAUCCGCCUGGUGUGGAGAUUGCAGUGACGACGGGCUCCUCGCGGGGCCAGAUGUGUGCAGACAUUUCGCUGGUUCCGACCAACAAGCCCAGCACCGCGGCUAAUGGGUGCCGUUGCUGUGCGGCUGGCGGUUCUUCCCCAGAGAGGUCAUGCGGGGAGGCCAGCCGACGCGAUCCGAGGACGCUGCGCUGCACGUGGACUCGACCUUUCUGUUCGCAGAAUUUCUGAUGGAAGUUUGUUGUGAAUGUAAAUGAGGGAGGAUUCUUUUAAAAAAAAAAAAAAUGUACAAAUCAUGAUUCUUUGGAGCAGGAUUUUAUGCAAGAAUGGUGUUUACACACGGUGUGGGUUUUUUUUUCCACCUUCUUUAAUAAGAACAGGUUUUUCAAAAAGGAAAUGGAAACUUUUUAACCAACUCGUGAAUGAUUUUUGUACUAAAAUUUUAAGAACCUAUUGCCUACUCUCAGAGGAUUAUGUAAACUCUGCAGUGGAAACUGAGCCAGCUAAUUGAUAAAGCUGCCUUAGUUUAUUUUUAGAGAUUACUGUACAGAAUUUUUAAAGGGGAGAGGUAUGAGAUAGCCCCCUCCCUGCCCUGCCAUUGGCUUUUCAACGUGCUUUUUUUUUUUUUUUAAUCAUUAAUACCAAAUAAGUUCUUAUGAAACAAAAUCAAUUUAAAGGGGCAGAGGGUCUGUUGUCCGCCUGUAUUGCUAUGCCACUCCCGUUUUGUAAAUAUUUACUUACCUCCUUAAAUUCAGUUGCAUCCCUGGCAAAAUUUUAAAACUCUCUUCGUGUAUUUUUCCUCGUCUCCUUUGGUGAUGCUCCUCUGGUCUGUCUGGAGGCCGAUGCAUACAGGAGGUGCAGCAUAUUAUCAUCAUGAAAGGGAACUGGGUCAGAGCAUGAAUAAGGAUCUGCCUGUGACCUCCACAACCCCAUUGGCUUGUCUGUCAGUAGAUUAUUCACUGGGACGUGCAUAGUGUUGGUUUUCACUGGUUUUGAUGGGCUCGUCAUUUACAGGUGUUCUGAAGAAGGAAUAGCAGUCCUAGCACAGACAGGUACCGUGGCCCUCCACACUGUGGGCUUCUCUGGUUGCAGACUCACCCGCGGUCACAGGUGCACCGUCAGCAGGGGCUGCAGGUGGUAAACGUGCCCGCUCGCUGAUCUGGUGGGACUGUAGGUGUCAGAGCUCCAGCCCUCGUGGGAAUUAGCGCAAGUCAUGAGCGGGGCUUUAGGGGGCUGUUUCCUAGGCUUCCAGGCUUUUCAUACAACUCCAGGUUCAUCUGGCCUUUGAUGCCUGACACUUGGUUCCCACCCCUCCAAAUCCACUUAGGAAUGAAGGCCUAAUUCUGCCUUCAGCUGUACCGUAUAAACACUGCAUUGGAGCCCAAAUCUGAAGUGGGCUCUCAGCCUCUGACAGAUGUCCGUCUGUCUUGUUCCGUUAUUCUCGGGACAGUUGGGUGUUGUUGGACCACACCUGGUACACCCACCUCUCUUGGGCAAGCUCGCUCUUUCUCCACAUCUGCCUGGGGUGGGGUGCAGCAGCUGGAGGGUCCAUGAGUUGGUGUGUCACUUCAAAGGCAGUUAAACAAUUCGGGGAGACCCAAGAGAGAUCAGGAAGCAGUGAAAGAGGAGAGGUAGAGAUCAUUUCGUGAACCCUAAAACUUCCAAUUUGAAACCCCAGAUCCUUAAAUGGCUUUUUAAGAGAAAAACGUGAUUUUUCAAACAAGUCAGCAGUGCCAACCAUUCUUGUUUUGCUUUGGGCCCAUAGAGGACCAGAGUUUUCACAUAAUUAAGUGGGGAAAUCCGUUUCUAUCUUGAUAAUUCCAUAUAAAUAUAUAUAUACAUAUAUAUGUAUGUAUAUAUGUAUAUAUCUAAAGCAUAUAUGCAUUUUCCAUUAGGUAGAGAUAUUUGAUUCCAAAUAUUCUUCCUUUUUUAGGAUUUUCUUUUGCCCCCAAAGUCUUAUUGGGGUCUUGAAUAUUUUUAAAGCUGUGUUGAGUGUCAACUUGUGUUCCUGACGUGUCUCAAACCCCUCAGUAGGGUCGUGAAGUCCACGCGGUUGUAAGACGGUGGUCAACCUGCUGGGCACACACACACCAAAGACGUAUUUGGUUCUGGGCACCUCCCCCAGCCCCAUCUCCCCAGGAUCUCCAUACUCGGUGCCAGUUUCUCUGACUGGAGCACUUUACUCUGUUUCUUCAAUACUGCAGCUCCCUGGGCACAGUGCUCGAGGGCUGCGUGCUGGCAUACCUCUGGCUCAGUGGCCGCCUGGCCUCCAGGCUGGCCACAGAAGCAGCUUGUGAGGAAAUCAGAGAUUCUAUGAAUUUGUAGUAUUAAGGAGCAGGAAGUUGCACCAGGACUGAAGAGAGAUGACUGGAUGUCUCUGUACUGUACGUACCUGUUUAUCACGCCACCUCCCUGCGGAAGAAGGUAUGCCUACUAUGGUAGACCUUUGACUUUAUAUUGUUUAUUUCUUUUACUUUUUGUAGGAAAAAGAAAAAGACUAGAUCCCUUUUUGGAAACUGAAUGCGGGUUUUGUGCCUUGACCACCUCUUGUCCCAUGAGGUUUGUAGAAAGUGUCCUGUGACUUAUCACAGAAAUGCAAUAAAUACAUGCAAAAGAGUCCCACGACCAAUUCUUCCUGUUACCUGUACUCCCGCCCCGAAGCGAGUUCACCAAGAGCUGCUUGUGGGGUUGCAGGAAAACCAGGCAGAACUUCCUUUUGAUUAAGAAGAGUGUACCCCAUAGAGAAUAAAUUUCUCCUGUCCCCCACUUCUUGAUAUUGUAUAUAUUUUGACUAUUUAUUAGAUUAGGAGGUCACAUUUUACUUACCAACUGAGCCAAAUGUCUGUGUGCAAUUGUGUUCCCUUUCCCUCUCUUGUAAAAUUUUGUACAGCAUAAAUGAGUAAAGAUCACUGUUUUUACUAAACUUUUUCAGAAUUGAGGAUUGUACAUAUUGUAGAUUCUUUUUCUGUGUAAUGUGUCCUACUGUUUCAUAAUGCUGUAACUUGUAGAAAUGUUGUAUAUUUAUUUCCUGCUUAUUUAAUGUCUUACGUUCUGAAAAGUGUUGACCUCCCUGCUCCCCCCACCCCACCCCUUCCCCUGCUGUACCAUUCAUUGCUUUGGCUCUGAGGUGGUGACUGUUGAGCCCCACGCCCUUCCCCAGGCUGCCCUCCAGCUUUGGUUCCUGGUAUUUCUGGUCACAUGGGUUUAAAUUCUUGGGGUCUGCUAUCCUGAUGAUGAAGUCUGUGCUGAGCCAUCAGUGAAAGACCAUAGAUACGGCUGGCUACAAAAUUCUACAAAAAAUAACCAGUGACUUUCUAUUCUUUAAGAGCCAGCUUCUCGUGGAUGCGUACUCUAUUAAGGCCAGCCCAUAUCUUUUUUAUUUUUAUUUUAUUUUAAUGUAUUAUUGGCCGUUGGGACAGCCUUUUCCAUUGAACAGGUAUCCCUAACAAUUCAGAGUUCAGAAAAAUAAAAAUGGGCCCCUUCUGGGGGUGCUGCCAGGAGUUGUGCAGGGCAAGAGAAAGGGACAGGUGAGCCAGAGUGCUCCUGCCUGGAGAGGGACAUCAGGACCACCACCUCAUGCCACUUACCCAUUUUUGGCAACUGGUGAGUAGUUGAAUUAUCCCCUACCCGCUGUGUCCUGUGCGUUGAGGUGUGGGCUUAGUGGUCUUUAGGAGCUAAUUGUACAGAACCGCCCCCCCACUGCCCCCAGCCCUAAGCCCUUUGGUCCCUGCCUUUGAUCAGCCUGCUUCAGGUUGUCUUCCUUCUGCUUCUCUGUUGGCUUCGAGAGAGGUUGGGGGUCCCACUCGACUGGAUGUUAAGAUGUGAAAGCUCACAGAAGCUUUAGAGAGACUUCCUGGUGGUCCCGUGUCAGUAGAUGGUUCUAGCAUCCCUGCUGAUUUAGCCUGGUGCCUGUGUGCGUCCACUCCCCGCUCCCGUGGGUGCAGGGGUGGGUCCACACGUGAUGCUAAACCAGCUGAGGGGACUCCUUCCAACGGCAUUGUAUUCACGAAGCACCCUUGAACUCCCAGCUAGGUAACUUGACUACUUUUACUUGGGAAUCAGAAUUAGAAGCUCUCUGAAGUUGUAUGUCCAGGUUCUGUGACCACUAGUUACUGUAUCAGAACUCAUCAGGUACACAUUCAUUAAUAGCACUGAUCUGUCUGUAUACGGACCCGUCACUAACCUGUUUCCUAGGACCCAGCGUAUGUAGCAUUUGUAUUUGCGAUUUCCCUGGCUUACUUGUGUUUUGCACUGAUGAAUUUUGACAGGGUAAUUGCCACUUUACUUGUGCAAUACUGCUGUAAAUAACUGCAGAUUUUUUUUUUAAGAAACUUAAUCUUUUAUGUUCUUAAUGAAGUUUAUACAAAUAAAACUUUCAACUAGU